UCUGCUAGAAUCAUGUGGACCCCAGUGUAACAAAUCUAUGGAAAGAGAGAAAAUCUCAGCUCAAGUGUCCACAUGUCUUUAUUCCAAGAAAGAGUGUACAUAUGCCAGAAUCAUAUGGACUGCAGACUGGCCCUGGUGAUUCCGUUAAGAAAAAAGAGGAAAAAUCAGUGCUUGUGCUCAUUGGUCAUUGGACAAAGGGUGAAUGCCAGAAUUUUUUCAAGAACAGUCUGAAUCUGACAUGGAAAAAAUGAAGAAAAACAGCCUUCCUGUUUA